CCAAAGAUGAAUGCUACAUUUGAUCUCUCGUCUCUUUUGUACUUUCUUGGAAUCUCGUAGAAUGGAAAUGUCUACACAAAAGCAUGGAGACGGGAGAGGAGCGAAUUUGAUAUGCGAGUUUGUGAAGCAAAGCAUGCAAUUACUGGUACGGUAAGUAAAUAAAUGGAGGCAAAAGGACGAGAGCACGUACGAGUGGGGUCGGAGGGCGUCACCAGCUCAUGCCGUGCCGCACGCUUUCCCACGGAUUCCUCUUCUUCCCCGACCCCCACCCCGUCCCGAACCCUCUCCACUCGCCCUCUACCUCGCCAGCCUGUGCCUGCGUGAGUGUGUCGUCGCCACUCGUUGACCCCCCCUUCUCUCUUUCUCUCUCUUUAAACUCCUGGGAGGAGGAGAUUGAGAUUGGAGCAGGAAGGAACAAGGAAGGAAGGAGAUGGAGCCGUGCCCGUUCGUCCGGCUCCUGGUGGGAAACCUGGCGCUGAAGAUUCCGGUGGCCGCGCGGCCCGCCGGGGCCGGCGUCCACCCCUCCGCCUCCCCAUGCUUUGCCAAGAUCCGCCUCGGCAAAUCCCCACGCCAGACUGUCGCCGUCCCCCUCGUCCCCUCCGACGACCACGCCACCGCCGACCCACCCGCCACCCCCUCCUCGUCCGCGUCCGCUUCUGGUGCCCUCGCCGCCCGCUUCCACCUGUCUAAAGCCGAACUCGACCGGAUCUCGGCCAAGCCCUCGCUGUUCGCCGGAGGGCGCGGCGGCCGCGUCAAGCUUAAGGUCUCCGUCUACACCGGCCGGAGGGGGACCACCUGCGGGGUGAGCUCCGGCCGGCUUCUCGGCAGGGUGACGGUGACGCUCGACCUGAAGGGGAUGGCAGAUGGCGGCGGGAGUAGGGCGGUGGUGUUCCACAGCGGGUGGGUCGCCUUGGGCAAGAAGAAGACAAAGGCGGGGGCGGGGAAGGGUUCCUCCUCGUUGCCGGCGCAGUUAUAUCUGACGGUUAAGGCGGAGCCGGACCCGCGGUUCGUGUUCGAGUUCGACGGGGAGCCCGAGUGCAGCCCCCAGGUGUUCCAGGUGCAGGGCAACCUGAGGCAGCCCGUCUUCACUUGCAAGUUCAGCUGCCGCAAUGCCGGCGACCGCAACUUGAAUUCCAGAUCGAUGCAUUCGGAGCCGGGUAGCUCGCGGAGCUGGAUCUCUUCAUUUGGAUCGGAGCGGGAACGGCCGGGGAAGGAACGCAAGGGGUGGUCGGUGACGGUCCACGACCUCUCCGGGUCGCCCGUGGCCCUCGCCUCCAUGGUAACUCCCUUCGUGGCCUCCCACGGGACCGACAGGGUCAGCCGCUCUAAUCCCGGGGCAUGGCUCGUGCUCCGCCCCGGCGACGGCACCUGGAAGCCCUGGGGACGCCUCGAAGCCUGGCGCGAGCGCGGCGGCUCCGGCGCCAGCGACGGCCUAGGCUACCGCUUCCAGCUCCUUCCCGACGCCGCCAUGGGCGCGGGCAUCAACCUCGCGGAGUCCACCCUCAGCGCCACCAAGGGCGGCAAGUUCACCAUCGACCUCACCAGCGCUGCCGGCACCCCUCUGAGCCGGUCGACCUCGCCGGGAUGCAGCCCGAGGGGGAGCGGCGACUUCGGCUACGCGCUCUGGCCCUUCCCCAGCUACCGCGGGUUCGUGAUGUCCUCGACGGUGGCCGGCGAGGGGCGUAGCGGCCGGCCCACGGUGGAGGUCGGCGUGCAGCAAGUUGGGUGCACCGAGGACGCCGCAGCCUUUGUGGCGCUCGCGGCCGCCAUCGACCUGAGCAUGGACGCCUGCCGCCUCUUCUCCCACAAGCUCAGGAAGGAGCUGAGCGCGCCGGAUUUGUUGCGGUGACCGACCAAAUCCUACAACGUUUUCUUUCGUCUUCCUCUCUUUGUACAGUGUGUUUUCAGAGGCUUGUGUUGGCAGUGUUCAGAUAACUUUUAGCUCCAGGAACUAUGUGGUCUCCUCCCCAAGUUCAUAUCGACAACGAAGCUAGCUUGCAAUAUUCUUGGUGUGUGAGAUGCUGCAUCCUUUCUCAGGCUUGUGCUGCAAUUGCCAAACCAUCUUUUGAUAUGAAAUAUCGAGAAAGAAGAAGAUAGGUUGUGAUCUUGUGUUACCUUUUUGGGGACCCUCCGGAACAAAAAAGCGAGAUCAAACUUGAAUAAAGUGAAGUGGGGCUCCUAAGAGUUUACUUGUGAGGAACUAUGUAUGCAUGGGGCCUCUCCUGGUUAAACAUCAAACAAAAUGCUCCCACCUCCUCCUCCUCCUCCACCAUGGAUGAAUGGGGUUUUGCUGUUCUCCAUGAGCCAGCUGAGAAGGAUGGUGCGGCUUUUGAGGGGCGGGGGCCCAUGCUCGUGGCUGUCGCUUGCCCCAUGGACCAAUAAGAACUUGCAGCCACUGCUGAAGGUUUGAAUUCCUGAGGGGCACCAGCAGACAAACUUAGAUUGAGGUCACCCCAGUUUUAGCCGAGGAGGGGGGUAGGAGAAAGGUUGAUGUCACUCGGCCCCCCCACAGCAACAAUGGCGCUCUUUUCUCGUGGGCGUCGGGGGGCAUCGCAGAGCGCGCGCACACACACCCAACCCCCCCAUUUGUUUUGGUAGGUUUCUCCACAGGACAGGGCCUUUUGUCUACCUCUGUUGGUGUCCAAGCGCCAUAACCACAAGCGACACCGGUUGCUGUCGUCCGACCUGCAAUGUGGUUGUGGAAAUGCGUGAGAGGGCGAAGGGCGGGGAGGGGUUGGGUUGGGUUGGGUUGAGAUUCCGAGGUCACCAUCGCUUUCCUGCUGUCUAACAACUCACCCAACCUUUGCUUCCCUUUGACAACUUACCGACCUCACCCACAACUUGAAGGCUGUCUUUGCUUGUCGCCUCCCCAAGGAUUUCCACUUGAUGUUUCGACCUACUGCGAGGAUAAAAUGCAUUGCUCUCUCAGAUGCUAUUUGUUGGUGCAUGAUGAUAAGAAUGCAGAAGGAAAUGUUGUUUCUGAAAGAUAGACAAAGUUAGCAUUGAUGCUGGAUAUUGAAAACAUGGAGGACCGGUUGUUCAGACUGCAGAUAUCGAAGAGAAAGUCUACUGCCCAAGAAAUGGCUAAUGGUGCUUCAUCUGCAAGCAAUGCUUUCGUUGCAAACGCAAGCCUUGCUAACUCAAUAAUUAUUCCAAGCUUUCAGAUCUCCCAUCACUUCUGUCAUUCUGGCCUUGCUUUGUGGAAGUUGACAGCAGCAUUGAAUCACAGCCGUAUUAUCAGCGAAGAAAUAUGCCCUGCAGACUAUUAAAAAGACAAGAUUUUGUUUCUUCUCUCUGUGGAGCCUUCUCUGAACAUUUAUCAUAUCUGCACCUCAAGACAGAUUGCAUGAUGUGGAUCGAUCGAGAACGAAGACCCGAAGGCAAUCAUGGAGAGAUGAGUCUUCUCGUGUGUCCAUGCAUCUUAUUGAAAUGAUUGGAUUCAACCGCUAGAAGCAAGGAUCGAAGAGGAACAACAGGCACUGGCUAAAGACCAAAGAGAAGAGGUGGUGGAGCAGAAACAUUAUGCUGUAUUGAUUGAUAUCUUUUCCAUGGCAUGAAUGAACGGGCUCAUCAAUGCACAUUCUUCAACAUAUAUGGCUUGUGUAGACCCAUGACGACAGACAGACUGAAACAGAAGAGCAAGAGACCUAUAAGGUGAACUGAACUCACCCACUUGUCUCCUUAGAUGAGAUGUUUUGUUACCUAGAUCUUGCUGCCGUCUAUCAUUUGCUUGCAACAUGUUAACUUGAUAACAUGGACAUGAUCUUUCAUGGAAGUGGGACUGGCGUGCAGCAAAGGCACCAAAGAGGAAGCCUGUCCUGUCACUUCAAACGAUCAUGUCUACAAGGUCUGUGACAACUACUAGUCUCUGCAUGAUAUGAUGCUAAAGGAUCUUUCUUUAUCCCUUGUCCAACCUCAGAAGCAAAAGAGAUCAAGCACUUGGGUGUCACAGGGAAGGCAACAUGAUGAUGUCUGAUAAAAAGAAAGAAAAGGAGAUGGAUUACAGGGAAGACUGAAAAGUAGACAGAUGACCUCCACAUCCAUAAUUGACACACAAAACAGCCCAGGUUCAAGAAGAGAUCCAACAAGAAAAGAAGGAAUCCAUCAAGUAUUAUUAUCUACAGGACAUUAAUCUGGUAGUGGCUCACUUUUCGAGUCUCACGGAUCAAAGAUCAAGUCUCCACAUUUGCAUUUCCAGCUCAGGGGCUUGUAGUUGGAGCUGUAGUCACCCCUCACGGUGGCCGUACCCAAGAAUUGCCUGCUUCGACUCUUCUUUUCUUGUGGGAUUACUGGCACCUGAACUGCUUCACAAUGGCCACAUGUGAUGCACCUCCUCUCGCAGAUUGGUGGUCUUGAUCCAACCAAGGCUCUUACCCUCGCCUUCUCCUCUCCCCUUCCCUGCAUUCUAAGAUAGUCAUAUGUUGUUAUCAGGUGUAGAGAUUGCAGUUCUCACCAGAAAUGAGCGAAGGCCUUACACUUGCAACCUCAAGAAGCGUAAGCAAUGAUCUACCUGCAAUCAUGGCACUGCAAACUUACAACUGUACUGUCAGAAGGAAGUGAUUAGCCACAGAAAGAAAACAAGCUUACCUUCAACAGAAUGCUUGAUCGGAUUGGAGCUCAAGAGGAAAAGCAUUAAGAGGAGAAGACGGAGUGGACUUUUUGUUCCGAUACGAUUGAGAGGUCCCAUUUCUUAAUGGGAUUUGAUCGAGUAAAUGAUGAGUGGCAAAGGGAGAGGAGUUCGAGUUAGAAUGCAAAAGCUUGUUCUUCCAAAUCUGGGCUUUAUAAGCAACCACAUGCACAUGCACAAGCAGAGGAAAGCACCUGAAAGCCACUGCAAAGGUGAGGCGAUCAGGUUUGGGGGGACGCUGCAACGCAGCAGCUGUAUGCUUUCACUUUACCGUUCGAGCAGUCCCCAUCUUUACUGAUCGUCUUCUUCUGGGCCGACGGUGGACUCUUGUGGUUGUGCUGUUGCGGCAGAUUGGAUGCCGCACGUAGCAAAGCUCCCUCCUUUUCUCUUAGGACCGUAAACGAGGAGAGCAUAUGACUGCAUAAUGCAUGCAAACACUGCAACUUGUCAACGAUGAGCAUCGAGCCUUUUCAGAGUGCGUGGUGGUGUGCGCUAAAGUUGACAUGAACGCAUGAAUCAAUGAACACCAACUAUGACUUUGAGGGUGUUGCAGUGAUGCUCUUCUCUUGUUUUGAUUGGGAGAGAGAAUAUAUUCGGAUGCUUCUUUUCAUGCAUUGCU